AUUGAACGCUGGCGGCAGGCUUAACACAUGCAAGUCGAGCGGGGUGAUGGUGCUUGCACUAUCACUUAGCGGCGGACGGGUGAGUAAUGCUUAGGAAUCUGCCUAUUAGUGGGGGACAACAUCUCGAAAGGGAUGCUAAUACCGCAUACGUCCUACGGGAGAAAGCAGGGGAUCACUUGUGACCUUGCGCUAAUAGAUGAGCCUAAGUCGGAUUAGCUAGUUGGUGGGGUAAAGGCCUACCAAGGCGACGAUCUGUAGCGGGUCUGAGAGGAUGAUCCGCCCAACUGGGACUGGGCCACGGCCCAGACUCCUACGGGAGGCAGCAGUGGGGAAUAUUGGACAAUGGGGGGAACCCUGAUCCAGCCAUGCCGCGUGUGUGAAGAAGGCCUUAUGGUUGUAAAGCACUUUAAGCGAGGAGGAGGCUCUUUUGGUUAAUACCCAAGAUGAGUGGACGUUACUCGCAGAAUAAGCACCGGCUAACUCUGUGCCAGCCGCCGCCGUAA
rnacentral:rRNA from 1 species